rfam:Gammaproteobacteria bacterium MedPE Gammaproteobacteria-MedPE-C92, whole genome shotgun sequence.
AAGGCCAGAAGAGGAGCGUUAGCCAGGUAACUGCAUUGAAAGGUCCAAACCUUAAUGAUGUGUAGCGAUGGGGUCUAACGCCGAGAGACGAUUAUUGAUUUGGAUAAUAGUUGUUUCGGACAUUAAGGCUGAAUCCUUAAUGACUGUCACCUAUUUAUUGGUGGAGAGCUUCUGGUCUU